rnacentral:lncRNA from 1 species
AACAAACACACACACAAAGGCGACCAGUACUGGAGUUGGGAGAAGCUGAGGCGUUUUUCGUGCCGCUGGCUGACCGGCCGGCUGGUGGCUUACAUAGCCAGCUAGUGUGUGCUCUACUUUCUUGCGUGUAAUCUCGCACAAAGCUAGCUUGGAGCCGAAUAAUGGAAGCCACGAUGAAGCUCUGCAACGUUGCGACGGUGAGGAGCUCUGUCACCGGCAAGCCCCGCGAGCAGGAGGAAGUGUCCUCUCGGCAUGAAGACCAGAGAGAGCCUGCAGUUAUUAUGCCACCGGGAGCAUCGGUUCACGUGGUUUCUAUUCUUCUUCGUAUCUCUAUAUCGUCGGAUCUUCUUGACCUUGCAAGACCUUUUCUUGACCUUAGUGCCAUCGAUGAGACGCACAGAAGCAUGUUCCUGUUGGGCCAUGAUGCUCAGGCAAUGUGAAGUAGGCGCCUACCUGUAAGCUAGCUACUUCGUAUGUAUCCCAUCAAUGGAAUAAGUUGGCUAUG